rnacentral:misc_RNA from 1 species
AAAAUGGAAGAAAAAAAAAAGUUUUUGCAAGUCUACUAACAAAAAAGAGAACCAAACUUUAACCUGAAACAUGGAAUAACACGAAUAUUUACAGAAACCGCAACCUACAUACCAGCUGGUUAAUAAGUACUAAUAUUUGCAACAAAAAGAUCACCAAAAGAUCCACACCGCACAAAUAGCCAGGAGUACAGUAUGAUUAUGACAAACAGGGCACAUAUACCAUUGGGAAACUUGGUAGCUGCAAAAUCCCAACUAUACAUUCAAAAGUGUCUAUCUUCUUCUACAAUAAAUGGUGAAAAAAUUUCUAGUCCAAAAAACUAUUCCUAUCCUCAAUCUAUCCCCUUCACUUAUAUACACCCAGUUAGAAUGCCAAUACAUAUGGAAAUCACUAAAUGAGAUGAAGAAUACCACAGCAACAACUCUGAGCACGAAAAGAACCAUACCUAAAAGCACUCUUACUGAAUAAUUCACAACAAAAGACCACCAGAAAAAAAAACUUUACAGAUCAAGAAUCAUUGAACUUCUAAAGCUCAAGGAUAGGGCUCUCUCUACCCUCAUGGAGCAAACAGUUUUAUAUAUUCCAUGCAAUUUUCGGGACCAAAAUGACAGCCCACUAGCAUUUAGCAUAUAUGUUGAGUGAUCAACACAUCAAAUACUAGCAUCUGUAAUUUAUUUUCUUCUUUUUUUUGGGUCUCAUAAUAAGCCUUUUUUUUUUCUUAAUCCAACAUUACCGUUACUAAAACUUCACUAGAACUUCUCUUUCACUAGUACAGAAAAAGUAUGAAAAGUGAAAUUGGAAACAUGUAUUGUAACUUUAAUAAGCUUCUGGAAAACUCACAAGAGACAAAAGUACUAUCAUUUCUUUGUGCAUGCAUGUCUCCAUUGUUUGUGUGUAAGAAAGCAAGAGAGACAGGAUGGUUUCUUGCACUAAUCCACAUAACCAUCCAAAUGACACAUUAUGGUUAUCUUGGACAUCCUAAUAUUCUAUUUUCAAGUAGCAAAAUAGCAACAAAGCAGAAAACAGUUUGGAGCAUUUCAUGUAAACCAAAACUAAAGCUUAAUCUAUUUUUUAAGCCCUAAUGCAUAGUAGGGUUCCGUUUGAAUUUGUAUUUAGAUUUUUACUUUUAGACUUGUAUAUAAAUAGUGAUUAUAAUUUUGAACACAAAUUAUUUCAAAGAUUAUUUCUUUUAAUUUUUUAUUUAGACCAUCAACCCUUAUUUGUUACUUUUUUCUCAGUUUUUUUUAAAUAAUUUAGCAUUAUUACCCAUUACUAUAAAAAUAUGAUUUUCUUAAAAAUGACUGCUUACAAUAAGUAAUUUCUUUGACUAUAUUUUCACGAGAUAUAGAAGAUUAUUAUGAUGGUUAAAAUUGUAUUCAAAGUUGAUACGAGUCCUUUUGAAAAUUUUGUAAAACAAUUCAAGAUAAAGGUGUCUGACUCUGUACAGUUUAAUCCAAUUAUGAGCCCGUCUUCGAUUCCAUUAUCUUAACACUUUGUAAUACGGUUCCCUUAGUGUGUGAUACUCACUGCAUUGCAAGGGUCAGGAAGGCUCCAUAAAUUUGUAUGCUGUCAAAAACAACAGAAGAAAAUUUCCUGGACAACCACCCAAAACCCAUCAACACAAAUCCUAAUCCAAGAAAAUUACCCAGCAAGAGCAAAACAAUAAUACUUCACCAUAGAUAACCAAUGUUACAAAAACAGGGUAAAAUCAAAGCCCUUGUCAUUUGGUACCACAUUGACCAUUGAUCAGAAGCAAAAGAACCUAAUUAGCGCCCCUAUCCUGCCAAAACAAAGACAAACAGAGGAUGCCAUUUCCUACUAAAAGUGCAAAGAAUGACUGAUGACAUGGCUUUUUGAGCAAUUUGGCCUGCACUUUAUGUUCCAAUAACCCUACAUGCAUGCAAAUGAGAAGUUCAAAUACCAGCAAUAAAACUGAUCCUAUAAUAUUAAGUAGAAGAACCUUGUUGAGUUAUAAAUAGAGUUGAGUCUAGAGUCUUAUUUCCAUUUCCAGUUGUGUAAUGGACUUUUCGUGCUUGCAUCAAGGGCACCUUUUAUAUUCCUUGACAUUUAGAGCUGCUAUGGAAGCAUAACUUACAAAAUUACUGCCUCUCCAUCACUGCUAU